rnacentral:rRNA from 1 species
GUAGUCCACGCCAUAAACGAUGACAACUAGACGUCGGAAGGAUCUGCCUUUCGGUGUCGCAGCUAACGCGUUAAGUUGUCCGCCUGGGGAGUACGGCCGCAAGGUUGAAACUCAAAGAAAUUGACGGGGACCCGCACAAGCGGUGGAGCAUGUGGUUCAAUUCGAUGCAACGCGAAGAACCUUACCUGGUCUUGACAUGUCUGGAAGACCGCAGAGAUGUGGUUGUGCCCGAAAGGGAACCAGAACACAGGUGCUGCAUGGCUGUCGUCAGCUCGUGUCGUGAGAUGUUGGGUUAAGUCCCGCAACGAGCGCAACCCUUGUCCUUAGUUGCCAGCACUUCGGGUGGGCACUCUAAGGAGACCGCCGGUGACAAACCGGA